CUACCAGGGUUUCUAAUCCUGUUUGCUACCCACGCUUUCGUGCCUCAGUGUCAGUUGCAGUCCAGAAAGCCGCCUUCGCUACUGGUGUUCCUCCCAAUAUCUACGCAUUUCACCGCUACACUGGGAAUUCCACUUUCCUCUCCUGCACUCAAGUCUUCCAGUUUCGGAGGCUAACUACGGUUGAGCCGUAGCCUUUAACCACCGACUUGAAAGACCACCUACGCACCCUUUACGCCCAGUAAAUCCGGAUAACGCUAGCCCCCUACGUAUUACCGCGGCUGCUGGCAC
rnacentral:rRNA from 1 species